rnacentral:lncRNA from 1 species
UAACUACUGUGAGAGAAAAAAGCCCAGGCUGAGGCUCCCCCAGCAUCCUGAGGCUCGAACCCAGGCCUCCCUGCACACCAAGCUUCUUUACCUUGGCAUCUGUCCCCAGCUGUUAUGGUACCUGCUCCAUGGGACAUGGCCGCCCAGGCCGCCUUGCUGGGGCUCAUCUAGGAGUGGCGUUCCUCAUGUCGCCCUGAAGGCCAGCUCUGGACCUCCCCAGGAAAGUGCCACCUUGCAGAGCUGCUCCUCCGGAGCCCCGACCCUUGGGACACCCUCCAGCCGGCGGCCCCCAGUGGAGUGGGGGCUCCAGGAGGCCAGGCCUGGCUUGCUGACCUUGGACAGCAGCUGCAGGACGGGCCAGAGGGGGAGGCUGCCACCCAGACCCCUCUGGGCCCAGGCCCCAUGCCCCAAGGAGGGGCGGCCUGAAAGCUCCUGCAGCCCGUGCGGGCCUGUCCACCUGCCCUUCUGACUGUGGCUUCUUGGCAUGGCCAGCAACAGCAGCUCCUGCCCGACACCUGGGGGUGGGCACCUCAAUGGGUACCCAGUGCCCCCUACGCCUUCUUCUUCCCCCCGAUGUUGGGUGGACUGUCGCCGCGGGCACCCUGACCUCGCUGCCAGCACCGCUUCCGUGAGCGGAUACAGCACCCCGUCCCCGGCCAGUGAGUGCGGGUGUGCAGGGUCCCGGGGGCCACGAGCUGCAGAGCUGCUCAGAUGAGGGCGCGGAGCCGGGGCUUGCCGAGAAGGUGGUUGUGUCUGCGUGGGAGGCGCAGGGAGCGGUGGAGGCCCAGUGAGCGCCUAUAAAUAGCCGCAGGAACUGGACUCAGGGGCUGUGGUGGUAAACAAACCUCUUCAGGUUUGGUGCUCUGCCCCAUGGCAGCUCUGCCAGGGAACCCCAGCAAUCCAGGCCGCCACACCUAUGCUCCACCUCUGCCUGGGCUCCC